GCCGGGGUGGCCGAGUGGUUAAGGCGGUGGGCUCGAGACCCACUGGGGUACAUCCCCACGCGGGUUCGAAUCCCGCCCCCGGCGCCA
rnacentral:tRNA from 1 species